UACGUAGGGUGCGAGCGUUAAUCGGAAUUACUGGGCGUAAAGCGUGCGCAGGCGGUUAUGUAAGACAGGUGUGAAAUCCCCGGGCUCAACCUGGGAACUGCAUCUGUGACUGCAUAGCUAGAGUAUGGUAGAGGGGGAUGGAAUUCCGCGUGUAGCAGUGAAAUGCGUAGAUAUGCGGAGGAACACCGAUGGCGAAGGCAAUCCCCUGGACCUGUACUGACGCUCAUGCACGAAAGCGUGGGGAGCAAACAGG
rnacentral:rRNA from 1 species